GGUUGGAUGGCCGAGCGGUCUAAGGCGCCAGACUAAGGUUCAGUUUCGUUGCGAAAUCUCACUACUCGAUUCUUUAAUCGGAUAUCUGGUCAUUCGUGGCGUGGGUUCGAAUCCCACUCCAAUCA